UGCUUAUACCAUAUUUUAGGGCAUUAG
rnacentral:piRNA from 1 species